CCUCUCCUUCUCUCUACCGACAGGAGAACCUGUGGUGCGCCGCCGCUGUUGCGGCGCUUAAACCGGAGAGAUCCUACGUUUAUCCACAAACGCCAACGCCGUCCCUCCUUCGCGGCUCCGAUUCCCCGUGACUCCACGACGCCGACCACCUCCAGGUCUUCAUGCCACACACAAGAUGGGUGGUACCCCUCAAAGGCCCCCUUGGACUCCGCUUCACCUCAAGCUGCUCAUUGAUAUUGUUGGAUAUCUGAUCAUGUUGAAUGGCUUCGCUCUAACUGAAGUAUGCUCUAUAAAGGUGAAAAAGAUGGAAGGCUGAUGCAUUUUGAUCUAGAGAACAAUGACAUACAAGGCAAGGAGACGGGCGAGUAAUGGCGAAGAAGCUCAUAUGUGAUAUGUCCCUGAUUUGUUGUAACCGUCGCUGGCAGUGGAGGUGGUGUUUACAUGGGUGAUUGAUUGCCAUAUGUGAUCGUGCUUCAUGCCCUAAAUAAGGUUCUUCUUGUAUAUGCAUUGACAACUGGGAUUAUGACAAGUUUUCCACGGGAUGAUCAGCUUGCAUCAUGCUCUCACCGAAGUUAAGACAUGUCUCUGGGGCAGGUGAGCUUUUUUUUAUUCCCUGUAAUUCUACUUUUUUCCUAACUUGUGUUGUGCUUCACGUUGAGCAUGCUAGAGUGCAGAGUAUAUCGUGUGGGUGGUUGUAGAUACUAAAUAGUUAGAGUGAAGCUAUGGUAUUUUAAAAACAAGUAAAACUGCACAUCUUGCAUCAUAUUUUUGUUGUGAAUGUGGGCGGUGUCGUGGUUCUAAGCCUGACAGUAGAGUGGGGGGUAGGUAUGGAGAGGCAAGGUCCUAGCUAUGGAGAGGUUGUAAACACAAGAGAUGUACGAGUUCAGGCCCUUCUCGGAGGAAGUA